rnacentral:lncRNA from 1 species
AAUCCCUGAGCUCACUAAUUUGUGAUUAUUUCCUAUUGUUUUGAUUUCUGCCAUUUAAUAUAAUGUAUUAUGUGUGAAGUGUAAGAAAACAUUUUUAUUUGGCCCUGGACAUACCAGAAGUCACGUUUCUAAAUAUGCACUAAUUUGCUUUUUUGUCCUUAAAAGUUGCUCUUUGAAUUCAUCUCAAAAAUGUGUCACAAAAACAGAUUGUUUUUCCGGCUGACUUUUCUUGCCCAGAUGUCACUAAAUGAAGCUUAUUCAUGUGCACAUAGUGAACAUUCAAUGAAAUAUUUUGAAAUCAAAUAAAAUUGUCAAAAAUGAAUAAGUAAAUCUAUACCCUUCCUAUAUAUAGUGUAGUGAUGACUUAUGCCUUCUAUUAAAAAUCAGUUAUUCAGAAAAGCCAUGAUACCAUUUCUUAUAAAAAUGCAAGAUGUGAUUUACUAUUCCUGGCAACAGCUGCUGCUCAUCAAUGAUAAACUUUGAAGUCAGUGAUAACAUAAUUCAGCAGACAUGAUGAUUCUCAAUCUAUGCAUGAUGCCAUAUGGGCUUCAAGACCAAGACAGCAUUAUUCCCCUGCUCAAACAAAUGCACUCCAUGUUUUGUUUUGCAAAAUUUGACCUAGAUUAAAUGUACAUUGGCCAAAACAUCUAAGUCUUCCCAAGGCAAUGGUUAUGGGCUAAAUUCUAAAGAAUGCAUCUCUGUGUGUGUUUGUGUGGGGGUGUGUGUGGUGGCGUGUGGUGAGUGUAACACAUGCACAAAAUUCACUCCUGAAGAGACAACUUAGGCAUGACCACAUCUUUCCUGUGUUCCAGGUGUCCCCAUCUUUCCUCUCUGGUCCCAUUUAAACUCUGGGUUUAAUUUGAUCUUCAUACGG